rnacentral:rRNA from 1 species
GCAUAUCAAUAAGCGGAGGAAAAGAAACCAACAGGGAUUCCCCUAGUAACGGCGAGUGAAGCGGGAACAGCUCAAAUUUGAAAUCUGGCCCUUGGGUCCGAGUUGUAAUUUGCAGAGGAUGCUUUUGGUGCGGUGCCUUCCGAGUUCCCUGGAACGGGACGCCUUAGAGGGUGAGAGCCCCGUACGGUUGGCCACCAAGCCUGUGUAAAGCUCCUUCGACGAGUCGAGUAGUUUGGGAAUGCUGCUCAAAAUGGGAGGUAUAUUUCUUCUAAAGCUAAAUACUGGCCAGAGACCGAUAGCGCACAAGUAGAGUGAUCGAAAGAUGAAAAGCACUUUGAAAAGAGGGUUAAAUAGCACGUGAAAUUGUUGAAAGGGAAGGAUUUAUGACCAGACUUUUUCUAGGGGGAUCAUCCGGUGUUCUCACCGGUGCACUUCCCCUAGUUGAGGCCAGCAUCGGUUUCUGUCGGGGGAUAAAAGCUUCAGGAAUGUGGCUCCCUCCGGGGAGUGUUAUAGCCUGUUGCAUAAUACCCUGACGGGGACCGAGGUUCGCGCAUUGCAAGGAUGCUGGCGUAAUGGUUAUUAAUCACCCGUCUUGAAACACGGACCAAGGAGUCGAACAUUUGUGCGAGUGUUUGGGUGUUAAACCCUCACGCGUAAUGAAAGUGAACGGAGGUGAGAGCCCUUCGGGGUGCAUCAUCGACCGAUCCUGAUGUCUUCGGAUGGAUUUGAGUAAGAGCAUAACUGUUCGGACCCGAAAGAUGGUGAACUAUGCGUGGAUAGGGUGAAGCCAGAGGAAACUCUGGUGGAGGCUCGCAGCGGUUCUGACGUGCAAAUCGAUCGUCAAAUCUGCGCAUGGGGGCGAAAGACUAAUCGAACCAUCUAGUAGCUGGUUACCGCC